GUGAAGUGACGAUACAAAUUCAUAUCUUCAAUUCACUGACUUACUGUGUGAUGUUACUCUGAAUUGGCUGUGGUUCUGAUCGC